CUGCGGCGGAUUAGCUAGUUGGUGGGGUAACGGCCUACCAAGGCGAUGAUCCGUAGGGGGCGUGAGAGCGUGGCCCCCCACACUGGCACUGAGACACGGGCCAGACUCCUACGGGAGGCAGCAGUGAGGAAUAUUGCACAAUGGGCGCAAGCCUGAUGCAGCAACGCCGCGUGAGGGACGAAGGCCUUCGGGUCGUAAACCUCUUUUCUGGGGGACGAGUAAGGACGGUACCUCAGGAAUAAGUCUCGGCUAACUACGUGCCAGCAGCCGCGGUAAAACGUAGGAGGCGAGCGUUAUCCGGAUUUACUGGGCGUAAAGCGUACGCAGGUGGCUUCGUGAGUCGGACAUGAAAGCUCCUGGCUUAACUGGGAGAGGCUGUUCGAUACUGCGGGGCUUGAGGUUGGGAGAGGGACGCGGAAUUCCCGGUGUAGUGGUGGAAUGCGUAGAUAUCGGGAGGAACACCAGUGGCGCAAGCGGCGUCCUGGCCCACACCUGACGCUGAGGUGCGAAAGCGUGGGUAGCAAACAGGAUUAGAUACCCUGGUAGUCCACGCUGUAAACGAUGUCAACUGGGUGUCGGUAGUUUUACACUAUCGGUGCCGAAGCCAACGCG
rnacentral:rRNA from 1 species